rnacentral:misc_RNA from 1 species
UCGUGGGGGCCCUUCGCGGUCCUUUGCGUGAUGCAACCCUUGCCUUUUUUUCAGCAUCUAUCCGUUUCCUCGGCAGCCUCGCCUGCCAACGAGGACCUUUAGAAACCCUUUUUGUAACGUCGGUACGAAACUCAGAAAAGCACAAAGGUUA